rnacentral:rRNA from 1 species
GGGCCCGCACAAGCGGUGGAGCAUGUGGUUUAAUUCGACGCAACGCGAAGAACCUUACCAGCCUUUGACAUGGACAUUAGGAUCGAUAGAGAUAUUGGUUUUCAUUUAGUUGGGUGUCACACAGGUGCUGCAUGGCUGUCGUCAGCUCGUGUCGUGAGAUGUUGGGUUAAGUCCCGCAACGAGCGCAACCCUCGCCUUUAGUUGCCAUCAUUUAGUUGGGCACUCUAAAGGAACUGCCUAUGAUAAGUAGGAGGAAGGUGGGGAUGACGUCAAGUCCUCAUGGCCCUUACAGGCUGGGCUACACACGUGCUACAAUGGUUAUUACAGAGGGAAGCAAACUAGAGAUAGUAAGCAAAUCCCGUAAAAAUAAUCUCAGUUCGGAUUGAGCUCUGCAACUCGAGCUCAUGAAGUUGGAAUCGCUAGUAAUCGUGGAUCAGCAUGCCACGGUGAAUACGUUCCCGGGCCUU